rnacentral:rRNA from 1 species
CUACGGGCGGCAGCAGUAAGGAAUAUUGCGCAAUGGAGGCAACUCUGACGCAGCCAUGCCGCGUGCAGGAAGAAGGCCUUAUGGGUCGUAAACUGCUUUUAUUUAGGAAUAAACCCCCGAACGUGUUCGGGGCUGAAGGUACUAAACGAAUAAGCACCGGCUAACUCCGUGCCAGCAGCCGCGGUAAUACGGAGGGUGCAAGCGUUAUCCGGAUUUAUUGGGUUUAAAGGGUGCGCAGGCGGGCUAUUAAGUCAGGGGUGAAAUCCCGGGGCUCAACUCCGGAACUGCCAUUGAUACUGAUAGUCUUGAGUUUGGUUGAAGUGGGCGGAAUGUAGCAUGUAGCGGUGAAAUGCAUAGAUAUGCUACAGAACACCAAUCGCGAAGGCAGCUCACUAAGCCAAAACUGACGCUCAUGCACGAAAGCGUGGGGAUCAAACAGGAUUAGAUACCCGAGGAGUC